GGCCGCCCGCCCCGGCUCGCCCUCGCCGCCCGCCCGGCCCGGCCCCGCGGCUGGAUCCCGGCUCGGCGGGGCGCGCUCACCUCGCGAUCGGCCGCCGCCGCCCGGGCUCCGCGUGCAGGGCGCGCGCGGCUCCUUCCGGGGCGCCGCGUCCCCUCCCAGAGCCACCCGGGCACCCUGGCCCGCCCCUGCCGCCCGGCGGGCGCCGGGACCAGCCCCGCAGCCUCGCAGGUCCCCGCUGAAGCACCCGGGGUGCCCCUCCUGACGCCCAGGUCUGCCCCGAGGGCCCCAUCCCGUGCGCAGUACGUGGCCGGCAGCUGCCUGAGAGUGGGCCAGGUAAGCAAGGCAGGGCGCGGGGACCCAGCCCCUGCUUGGCCGGAGGCCCUGCCCCGGGGGAGAACGGAGCACCCUGAGCCCAGAGUGUCACCCCGGAGUCUGGGAGGCUCUGCGGCCCUCCACCCCUGGUGCGGAUGGGGAGGGCCACCUCCAGGGCCUCGGGUCGCAGGUCGCCUUGGCCUGCACCCCCAGGAUUGAGAGAGAGGUCGGAAGGGACAGUCGCCAGCAGAGGCCCAGCUAAGGCCUCUGCUCCCAACCCACUCAGGCAUCCCAGCGGGGCUCCGUCAGGACGUCAGACGUGGUCAGAGGUGGUCCCCAAGACGCCCCCGAGAGCACACUUCAGAGAGGCCAAUACGCUGAGGGAGGCAGAGGAGGCCGCAGGUGCAGAAGGGGAGGGGAGCAGGGUCUGAUGUGACCCCCUGGAGGAGGAGACCCCGCUGCAGGAGAAGGGGUGCUCUAGGAGGAGGGAACCCCACGCCUUUAGGAUAGGGAGUUCUGUGCCCUCAGAGAGGAGGGAGAAGUGAGGAGCCCUGGGAGGUUUGAGCUGGAGUGGGACUCAGUCAGGUCAUCCUUUGAGAGCUUGCUCUGGCGUCCUGGGGAAGGGAGCCGUCCGGGCUGGGAAGGGGGCAGACACUUCUGCCUCCUUGUCUUUGUACUCCAUUUUUCUGGUCCCAUGCUCUGCAGAGCACCCCAAAUUCUCCCUAGGAGCACCUUUCUCUCCCAAGGCUGCAGGCUGCAUGAGCAUCACAACCUUGAAGGAGUUGAUGGGGGAAAGGCUGGCCUUGGUGUUCCUGGGUGCCUGUCAAGGACAAAGCUGGACCCUGGACCCUGGCCUUUGACAUCCCAAAAGACAUGAUUAUUCUUCUGGUCCCUGGGAUGACAGCAGAGAAUUUCCUGUGACUCUAAUCCUCCAAGGCUGGCUUCAUCUCCACCUUGGUUCUAAGCAGAACUCCCCUCAGCUCCCAGGCGCCAUCUCUUGCCACCCCCUGGAUAUGCAUUUAUUAAGCACCUCCUGUAUGCCUGGCGCUCCACGACCGUUGGACCAGAGCAUGAGUCCCCCCACCUGCUGUUACUUAUACUUUCCAGUUCCAGGCAAUGAAUGCAGAGCCUUAGGGUCCCCAAACUUCCCCUGGUCCAGGCUGCACCCCAGAGGUCAGACUCCUGGGAGUCCACUGCUGUAUCCACAGGCUCGGGAGAUACCCAGUGGCUGGCUCCGAAAGACUAGGGAAUGAGUGUGCAGGACAGACCCGCUCCUAAAAGAGCAACCGAUCUGGCAACCACAGCAGACAUGCUGCUUUGGGGAAAAUUUAAUAACAGUGGCACUCGUUGGUGGAGGCGAACAGAAACAUUGCACGGUCCCACACUGCUCAGCCAGCCGGGUGGCUCGCCCGGCUGGGAAGCGUUUCCCAGGCGCCCACUGUGUGCCGCAGGCCAGGGUUAGAGCCAGCGUCACAGCCCAGGGUGGCUCCGAGGCACGGUGUGUGGGACUUUACAGCAAGGGUAAGCAAGAGAGGGGAGCCCAGCCGGUGCCAAGGCCUUCUAAAAUCACAGGUGCCCAGGUAGCCCGUCACGUGGCCCAGAUGCGAUGGCUGGGAAAAUGAUGUCCGCUCUCUGACCAUGUCUAAGGCGCGUGAGAGGCUUACGCCAGAGGUCGGGCAUAAAAACUAGAGAGGGAAGAAAGGAGGGAAUGCCAGGAAGGAAGCACAGAUGAACAUCAGACUCGCUGAUGAUGAUGGGUGUGGUUGUGUUUGGGGUUUUUUUAAUUUGUUUUUGCUUUUUGAGACAGGGUCUCUACGAAGUUCAGGCUGGCCUUGAGCUCACUUUGGAGCCCAGGCUGGUUUCAAACUUGCAACGAUCCUCCUGCCUUAGCCUCCUGAGUGCUGGGAUGACAGGUGUGCGCCACCACACCUGGCUUCAGUUUUUUUUUAUGGGACUACUUUUCUCCAAUUUUACUGUGAUGAUCAGAAACAGAGUGAAGAAUGGAGAGUGGGGGCUUUCUGGAAGGGUUAGGAGCAGGAUACGUGGCCCAUAUCGGGCAGGGGCUGGAGGCGCAAGCAAGGCCUAGGCCGGAGGGCUUCUGUUGCCACGCCCACAGUGGGCCGGCCCACAUGGCCUUGAGUCCUCUUGGGUGACCGGUCUGCAGAUGGCAUGCCACGUGCGCUGUGCCAGGCCCCGACAAUCACCCUAGCAGAGGCAUUCAGGGGAGGCACAAAUCAGCGGAGGAGGGGGGAUGGGAGGGGCUCCCAGGAGGAGGGCACCCAAGAUGGGGUUUUGGGGACUGAGCCUGGUUUCCGGUCCCCAGCUCUGCCCCUUAGAUCUUUCCAAAGCCUCCGUCUAGAGAUCCUGACAUAGUCCAAAGGCUGGGGGUCUCCAUUGCGGGUCCUGGACCCUUCUAUAAGCCCAAUCCAAAUGGUCCCAGGCCUGGCCACCGGGUGCUGCCUCUGUCACAUGUGGCUGUGACUCUGAACGUCGGCCUCUCCUUCUGUACAGUUGAUGUAUGGAGUGACCUCUGGCUCGAGGUCACUGUUGGCAUCCAGUGAAUCAUCAACUGUCAAUAGCAAAUUCAGGACCCAGAUUCCAGCCCAGUUCUAUCCCUGACUUACUUAGGAUUUCGGGACCCAGGCCUGUUUCUCUGGGCCUCGGUUUCCCCAUCUUGAAAGGUGACGUAGCAACUCACUCCCGGACUCGCUCACAGAUGGCCGAUGGUGGGGAGAGGCCUCAGGAGCCCCCUCCUCCUGCUCCUCCCCGGGCUGCAGUUCCAGCCCGGCUGGUGUCCAGGCACACUUCCCCGUAUAACGCCAGGCCAGUCACCCAGGAGAGGCUGAAGGGAGGCCCAGCCAGACAGGGCAGCCCCCUACACCUCCCAGCCCCAGACAACUGUACCUGCCCUCCCUGCCUCGGGUCCCACUCCGGCUCCAGCUGCCCUGGGCUGCCAGGACUGGGCCUCGGCUUGUUGCAUACUGCCUGCGAGCACUUUAUAGUGUCAGGGAAUCUUUCCGGGUGCUUUAUAUCUGAGACCUCACACAGGCGACCUUCCCUGCAAAGGGAGACCACACAGAGGGAAAAAAAUGAUUGGUGGGGGAGGGGAGACAAGAAGCCUCAGUUUACAAAUCGCAAACCUCAAGGAGCCAGAGGUUUUAGGACCUGCCCAGCUGGUGUACAGGAAAGGUGGGGCCGGAGGGCCAGGUUCAGAGCCAGGACAUGCGCCGUGCCCUCCCCCAGCUCCAGGGCAGUGCCUCCCAGCUGGCAAAGGCUCCCAGUGCAUCUCAAAUCCCGGGGUGCCUGAUACCCAGCUGGCCAGGCUCCCAGCGGCCCAGUGAGCUGUCCAGGGUCCUGGCCAGGCCCAGUGCCGCCCCACAGCCUUCUGGGAUCUUUCCUGGCUCCCAAGGCCUGGUGCAGCCCGGAGGGUCCGUGGUCAAGUUUAUAGGUGUCUCUCUGAGCCCAUUCUGCUGGGCCAGGCUCAGCCAGGGCCCUGGGGCACUGUGAGCUGGGCCUGCUCUAGAGCAAGGACAGUGCAGGACGUGGGAACAAACUAACAGUGACCCUGCACCGCACAGCAGUGAGAGAUCCAGGCUGGACACAGACCUCCCGUCUUGCCUGAGGGCAGAAGAGGGGGCCCCAGGGGAUCCCAUGACAAGAAUGAAAAAAGGUGUGGGCUGGAGUCAGAGAUGUGGGGAUGAUGCAGGGUCCGGGCCAGGCAGGGACAGAAGGAGGGCAAGAGACCCCAGAGACGCCCUAUGGCCUCCAAGACCAUAGCUAGGACAACAGGUGCUGACCCUAGCCGAGCACUGUCUGGCCCCAGACUGCCCUGUGCCUGUGAACUGUAUCUCCCACUCCCCACUCUUGUCCCUACUGCUGCUCGGUGUGGGACCAAGGACACGAGAGUGACGCAGUCACAGGAGCUGCCUGGUCCAGGACCGGCCACCAUGGUGCCACCUCUGAAAGGCCAGCUGCCCGCAGCAGGUGCUGACGGGGUCAUGUGACUGGGGUCCAGGGUGACGCUGGAGACCCCUGUGGGCAAGGAGGCCUCGGAAAAGGCUCCUGGGCCGGGGCUGGGACAGGAGAGAGGAUGCCCAGCACUGGACACCCGGGGCCCCAGACUGAUGCCCUGCCCCAUACAGAGAGGCCUCUUUGGGGCUGGACACAGGCCUGGGCCUGGAGUCGGAGCAUGAAGGCAGCAGACAGCAGUUCUGGGGUGGGCACAGCCCCCUCCCGGGCACUGGCUCCAAGAACAGUGAUAAUCUCCACGCCUGCCUCCCACUCUCACCCCUGUGUCCCACAGCACCCCAAGUCCUGUCCACCAGCCCAGUCCCUCCGCCCGGCCUCCACUUCUGAUGGCCCCGCCCAGCGGUGGGGCUGCCCCUCCCCUGCCUGGGGCCCUUACUGGCUUCCCACUGCUCUGCAGCUUAUGUCCUGUUGAAGGAUACACCACCUGCCCAGGCCACCAACCCCUCCUGCUGUGCCGGGGACAGCUGCUGCUCAGCCCAUGGCCAGCAGUGGGGUCUAGUCUGCACCAGGGGCAGCCAGGCAGGCCUAGAUAGUGCAGCCCGGGCCUCCUGCAGCAGAGACACCAUCCAGAGCCCUGUUCACCCACUCCCCCCACACACACACCCUUCCCCUGGGAGAGGUGUGCACAGCCUGCGGAGUCACAGGCCCUGGCCUGCCACGUGUCCCAUGCGAGGUGCAGGAGCUCUUGCCUCACCUGCAAAAUGAGAGCAAAGACACCUACCUUGCAUGAUUGUGCUGGCAGACAGGACAAGGACUCUGUGACUGCCAGCCAGCACCGUGCACAGAGGACCCAGGUGUACACUGAGCAAGAAAGAACCCACUGUCGUGUGUCCUGCUGGGUAUGGCAGCCAUUGACACCCUCGUCAGAAUCAUCAGCCAGAGCUGGGAGGGACCUCAGGGUUCUUAUGCUCCAUGACACCUUAUUCCCCCCUGCACAAAGAGGGAAACUGAGGCCUAGAUUGAGGAAGAAACGGAGAGAGAAUACUCAGUCCCCAAGCCAGGGGGAAGAAUAAAUGACUCCUGAGAUCAGAGCACGGGGCACAGAGCUGAAAGGGAGACAGCCGUGUUCUCUCGCCCAGAUUAUCAGUGGCCCACCAGUAGCAGCCCAGAGGCCCCAGGUACGCCGAACCAGCUCGUUUGUGUGUGUGUGUGUUUGUUUCUUGUCUUUUUGACAUAGGAUCUCGAUACCCACAGUUCAGGCAGGCCUUGUGCUCACUUGAGAGCCCAGGCUGCUGUUGAACAUGGAACGAUCCUCCUGCCUCGGCCUCCUGCCUCGGCCUCCGAGUGCUGGGAUUACAGGAAUGUGCCACUGUGCCCUGUUGUUGUUGUUGUUUAGGUUUUUUUUAGUGUUUUCAGCAAUGCCACACCUCUCAGAUGAGAGCCGGGGUCAGAGUCAUGGAGAGCGUGCACAAAGCACACACUGCACCCCGCCAAACCCCCAUAAUCCGACCUCCCCACACAGCGAGGGGGAGAAGUGCACGCACGGCCCAGUGCCCGGCCUUCACCCCAUGGGACAUACACCACGCACUCAGCCUCCCCUACCCUGCCCCAUUCUGCAUACACCCCUGCCUGGGUCCCUUGAGCUGGCACUGCCCGCAGAUCACGGCUUUGCCCCUCCUCACCCCACGAAAGGUAGCACAACCAUCCCCAGGGUGCUAGUGACGGACACACUGGGCCUGGAGGGAGGACGUGCCCCAGGCAGCUCCUGAGGUCCAGGGCAGGGCUGGAGUGGCACCCUCUAUGACACUGCUCUGUCCCCUGGCUCUAGGGCUGCUGCUGCCUGGACCAGAAGGCAGAACCCAGGCAAGGGCCACAGGGAAACUGCCCAGGCUGGGCUGUGCGAGUGUAGCUCAGUGGUAGAGCACUUGCCAAGGAAGUUCGAGGUGCUGAGUUCCAGUCUCCAGCACUGCCAGGAAUAAUAGUAAUGAAACCAAGAAACCACAGGCACCAUUGCCUGUGGGCGCAUGGCAGACAGCACCAGUGGAUCCCAGUGCUCUCUUGUGCUCUCCUGGGAUACAGCGUGAGAAUCUGCACAGGCUCCCGGCAGCCACUUGAGGGGCCUUGGGAAGGGUGCCCAUGGGUCACUCCUGGCUAAAUCUGGGUUCUCUGGGAGCUUUUGUUCCUUUCUUUCUUGCAAUGCUGGGGCUCAAAUUCAGAGCCUCGUGCAUGCUGGGCAAAUGCCCCACCCCCAGCCCCCAGCCCUCUUCCCUCUGGUAUUAUUCAGCAGGAGCAAACCCACGAGCUGGGCUAUCCUCUCAGAGCCAGAGGACCUUUGAGAACCUCAGCAUAGAGCUGUGUAGCAAGCCACACCCAGGCCAGGCCUGAGGUUAAGAGUCUGGAGCCCUAAAAACUCACUGCCAAGCCAGUGUCUCCCCUGAAUGACCCGCUGAGCUCAACCCACCACAGAAACUCGCCCAAGCCCAAGCCCCAAGCUGCAGCCCUUCUGAAAGCUUCCUGCCCCUCUGCCCACACAGGGCUCCACUCUACAUCCUCAGGGGCUCCUGCGACACCUGCAUUUACAAGGUGUGGCCAGAAGUACAGUGAAGGUCACACCAUGUUUAAAUGUACUACAAUGAGACACACUGCCCUGAAUCCCACUCGUCCCGCGGUGCUGGCCGCUUCCGAAGCAGUUCGGGAGGUGCUCUUCCGUGAGUGUCUCUAGUUGCACUGUCGUGGCCGCCUGAGGUUCUCACCUGAUUCACAACUUGGACCUUUCGUGGUCAUUUUGACUUUGGGGAGGAACCAGGCGUCCCCGGUUUUGGAUCUGGUGAAUAGGCCAGGCAAGGACACUUGGGGCCCAGCUGCGGCUGCUCUGUGUGGUUUUUUUUUUUUUUUUUUGUUCACAUGCUCAGGAUGCUUGGGAACAAGGACCUCAGAGUUGCUUCAAAUGCCGAGCUGGCUGGCCUGAGCGCCUCGGAAGCGAGAGGGAGGAACCUGAGGGGUAUUCACGACGACGCCUGUUACCGAAUCAAUAUUUUUAAAUGUCCACAUUCACCGUCUAUUUGAUCACACUGCAGAAACCUGCCUCUGUCCCACCCACAUCACCAGCAGUUUCUCUUCCACCUUCCCAGCCACGUCUCCUAAAGCAGGGGUCCCAGGCCCCCAGAACCUGGCCCCUGACCCGUCAGGAACCAGGUCGCACAGCGGGAUCAGGGCUUCCCGUGUUCAGGGCCGCUGAGCUCGGCCUGCGGGCAGGGGAGCAGCCGCGCAUGCGCGCUCCUGUGAGUCCGGAAAACAUCCCCAGGCCCUGUCCCAGCCUGGAAAGACCGUCUUCCGUGAAAUCAGUCCCUGGUGCCAAAGGUUGGAGACUGCUGUCCUGUGGCAGCCGUGUACUCCCUCCCUAGUGCUUCCCAGCCUCCUUGGGCCACAGCUGGGUCACCCAUAGCACCCUGGUUCCAGGACAGUUGACAUGGCCCUCAUUCUGCUCCUCUCUGGCCACACAGGCUGCGCCCUUGCACUCAGGACACAAUCCAGGCUCCUAGCUGUGGCCCUCGGAUCUCCUGUUCUGGUCCCCGAGCCCCAGCCCAGCCCCAUGCCUUGCUCCUCCACCCUAAGGUCAGGUACACUGACCACCGUCCCCACCAGCUCUGGCCAUUGCUUAUCUGGAUGAUGCACUGGACAUUGUGCCAGCCUCCAGCAACCACCUGUCCUGCCUCUAAAACUGUCUAUUGAACACUCACUGUGUUCAAUAUCUGCUUUGCUGUCACUGGAACAGAAUAUUUGACACCCACAAUGGAAAGGAGCGAGGUCUAAUUUGGCUCACAGUUUGGGGAGUUCAGUCCAUGGUUGGCCAGCUCCAAGGCAGAAACAGCAUGGUGCAAGAGUGGGGAAGGGAAAAAACUACUCAUGUCAUGGCCGCCAGGAAGGAGAGAGAAAAGGGAGAAGCUGGGGACAAGAACACCUCCUUCCUGGUCAUGUCCUCAGUGGCCACCUCCAAGCAGGCCCCCUCCUUCACAGCACAGUCAGCCACGAGCCCAGCCAUGGAUGAAUCCACGAUGACAGCAGCAGGCUCUUGAUGCAGUCACCUCCCAAAGCCCCACAUCUGAGACUUCUGAGGGAUGUUUUACACCUACUGUGUGUCACACACUGCUCAGAGCGCUGGGGACCCAGCACUGAAUGGUGGCAAAGCUACUACUGUCCCGGGAUGUGGCUUGGCUGGAUGUGACUCAGAGAGGCCACAUGACCUCACGGGUGCACACAGGCAGGACACAGCCUCCCCCUCCUGCUCACUAUCCCCAGGGCCUCCCCCGUGAUUCACCUACCAAGAACCCCGCCCACCCCACCCCCCACCCUUGGGGCUUCCUGCUCUUCCCUGGCAGCACCCCCAUCCCCCAGCACCCAGCUACCAGCCUGGCUGCUGCCUCUCUGGAACAGUGCCCUCUGCGGGAAAGCUCCUCAGGCUAGGGCCAGGGUGCUUGCAGGGCACCCACCGAUGCCCAGCCCAUGGCCUGGGUGAGCCUUUAACAGCCAUGGAGCUGGGGGCAGAGCAUGGGAUUUCCUCUGACUCACUCUCAUCUACUUGCCUGAGCUGCCAUGUGGCAUGGGCACCGGCUGGCUCUUCAUAUGCUGCACGUGGCCCCUGAUGGCUCCAAUUCUGAUUCUGAGUCCCCAGGGACAGCUGAGGGCUGGGUGGACAAACGUCAGCCACAGAGAUGCAGUGGUUCACGGUACUCUGCCCGUGGCCUGGGCAGGGAGGAAGGAUGAGGCGAGGGGUCACCAGGCCAGGGUUGCCACCGGCCAAGCCCCCUUUCUGCCUCUGAGCCUUCACUUCCUCUCUGCUAGGACCAAUUCUGGUUCUUCAUGUUUGGACCCGAGCCCACAGGCCCUUCCCACCGCCCCCCACCAAGGGCUGUCGGGGUAGGGGCCCUCACUGUCUGCCACUUAGGGCUUCGAUGGGGAAACGCAGGCAGCCCCAGAACAGACAGUGCCAAGUGGGGCAGCUGGGCGGUGACCCCUGGAGGGGAACCUGUACGCCAUGGCCUCAGCCCGCAGCAAGGGGAAAGAGCUGCGGGGCUGGAACCACAGCAGAAGAGCCGGACGAUGAACUCCAAGAAAAGAAGAGGACGUAAGAAGGGGAGCCAGGUAGGGCAGUGCACGCCUGGAAUCGCCCCAGCACUGUGGGAGGCUGAGUCAGGAGCAUGGAAGGUUCAAGAAAGCCUGGGCAAGCCAACCUAAUGGGUUAGCAAGACCCUAUCUCAAAAAAGAAAAAUAAAAACAGGUCUGGAGAUGAGGCUCAGUGCAAAGGUGCUGGGUAACACGGCCCGGGUAACACAGGCACGCGCCUACAGAAGAGAUGACUGAGGUGAUCUCUCCAGACUCCUGGAUCUGUCUUGCUGCUGUGGAAUCACAAGCAAGAAUCUCAUUGGGUGGAACUUGGGUCACGUGUCCAGGCUGGACCAAUCAUCUCAUGCAGGGGCGGAAGUAACACACGAUAAAUAAAACUCCCGCCCUUCCCAGUGUCCCCUAGUGGAGCUCCUGUUCCCCCGGAAUCAGACUGAACUCAGAGGACGGGAAGUGAGGAGCCCGAGUCUUACUGGGGGAGAGACGGCCCCUGUCCCUAACAGGAGGGGACCCAGAAAGCAGGCUGCCAGGACCCCACUCUCAGGGGAAGCUUUGUAGAGCAAAAUGAUGAGGCAGGUACAGCGUGGGACAGAACCACAUCAACCAAUCAGAUCAGGAGCUCAGCCGCCCGCGUGACGCCGAUUGGGUGGGGUACGGGGGUGGGGCGUGCUUGGGGGAGGUGACAUCGGCCUGGAAUACCGAUCCUCAGUGGAGGUGUGAUCCUUGCAGCUUCAUCCUGAGGCCUCGGGCAGAGGCACCCCCAGCCACAGCCACGCGGAGUCCUGGGCCUCUGCCCUGAUUCCUCCUGGCCCCGCGUGGCUGCCUAGAAUAUUCCUACCGGUAGAAUCACAUAAGGCACUGCUAGCCCGGCCAGCGGGCACGGGGCGGCAGUAUACACUAGGAGCUUAAUUAAUGUCCACGUGGCUAAAGCCUCACUGAUCGAACUCACGCAUGGUAGGAAAGAUGCCGGUUCCCACUCACGAGCCUUCUGCCUCUGUCCUGCGCACUCCUUUCCAAAGCCCCGGCCACAGUGUUUGCCGAUUGCCAUGAUGUAGACACCUGCCCUGCAGCAGGCUCAUACCACCGAGCUGUGGGCACAGCAGCAAGAGCCGUGUUCAUGCAACGUCAUCAGCUAAUCGCCACCGAAGGUCCCUAGACCCCGUUUCCUUUCCCACCGCCCACCCCUGCUCCCUCUCCUCAGCCACCAGACACCCUCCCAUCACUCCAGCCACAAGUCUCGGCCUCACCACCACACCAGCAGUGUGCAUGCCUCAGGGCCUUUGCACUUGCUGUGUGUGCUCUUCAGAAAACCACUCUGGCCACCUUCAGAUCGCCACCCUCUACCCUCCCCUGCCUCUCCUGGUUUUCAGGGGACUCAAAGGUGUGACACACACACUUGUGCAUCUGUGCACAGAUUUGUGGUCACCAUGCCUCCCCAGAGGUUCCUAUACUGAUGGUGACCUCGUCCACUAAGUGCUGCCAUGUCCCCCAGCACAUAGUGGGUGCCCGUCCCACCUGACAGCCCCACUGGGCACCCAGCCCCACCCCUGCUGGCUUGCCCUCAGCAGCGCUCCCUGGCAGAGCCCCCCUGGCACGGCCCCUCCGCCCGGCCUCCUCUCCUCCUCCUCUGGGAGGAAAGGCGCCGGCCCAUUGUGCGGCCCUGUUGACACGGGGAUGACCUCACCGGGCCCCAAGGGUGGGGGCGCCGGGCCAGGUUGGGAACGGCUGCGAGGCUGAGGCCCAGGACAAAGGCCGGAGGCCAGUGUGAGGCGGAGACAAGGGCGCUUUUCAUGAGGGGAAUAAUUGCAGGAGGGUUAAUCCCUAGGAGAGGUCCCCAGGACGCCAGGGGACAGGGGCCGCCCGGUGCUGGAGGGGAUUUGGGGGGCCGGGGCCUGCGGCUCCCUAGCCCUGCAUUUGCAUCUUUGUUCUUGUCCAUGAAAUGGGCAGAGUCAGCACCGGGCAGAGCUUGGGACCCUGGCGGGGGCUGAGCCAGGCAUCGGGCAGGGAGCGCUCAGCAGGGCUCCGUGUGAGCAUCUCCCUGCCCUGCCGGCUUCCGGCUGCCACCAACCAGGGCUCAGCAGGGCCCUGGCUGAGCCUGGCACUGCUUCUGCCGCCUGCUCAGGCUGGUGGGCCUGGGAGUCCCAAGCUGUCACACAUCAGCCCAGGGGCCACGGUGCCUGAAUGGGUCUGUGUGCCCCCACCCCCGUCCAACCCAAGGAGAAGAGAGCCGGGUCUGCUCUUCCCUGGGCAGGGGACAAUCACUGGAACAGGGCAGCUUCCGAUGGAGGCGACAGCCCCUGCAAACCUGGAGAAGCCCAGGCUGAAGGGGACAGAGCAGGGUCACACCACACAGGACCAUGGGUGACAGCCAGGCCUUCCAGUGCCUGUGCACCAAUCGCUGGUUUUCCACCCAAAAUUCUGUCAGUGCUGUGUCGUCUUCAGGGCCAGCAGUCCCCGGAUGCAAGCGCCUCUGCUACCCCCGCCCCUCGGCCUGGCUCCUACCAAGUGUGACCUCUAGUUGGGGUGCAGCACGGGUAGAGAAUUUCUAGCAUGCUGGGUUCCACUCCCAGCUCCUCAAGGAAAAAAUUGAAUACUGGCAUUGCUAUUUCCUUCCCCAAAGAGGAGAAUGGGGAUCCCUCCUGAGCUUCCUGGGGGACAUUUGCACUGAGGAUUUUGUCCCCUGCCAGUGUCCAGCCAGGCCUCAGCGCAUCAUGCCUCCAGACCUGGGGGCUUCCCCUUGGCCGUGGGUCUCAGCCCCCAGCAAUUUCCCAGAGGCAGGCACCCAAGCCAGGUAGCAAGGUUCGCUUCUCUCACCAACCCAAGUGAAGAGUUUCCGGGGCAGGUCCAAAGGGAAGAGGACAGGGGCCGGGCUGACUCCUGCUGGGCGAGAACCCUCCUACCCCGAGGAUGGGGUGCAGGGCAGGGCCCAGUGGCCCGGAGGCCAGAGUGCACCCUCGUCUGAAGUGGGCCUGGUCCGGGGUGAGCAAAGAUCCUCAGCAGCUACGAGGGCAAGUCCAGGCAAGACCUGGGGACACGGGCUGGGACACCCCACCAGCACAGAGCCGAAGCUCCUGGGGUGGUGUCUCCUCUGCCUGGCCUUCGUCACCCCUGCGGUGGGCAUGGGACAGGGACACAAGGGGCCAGGACCUCACUGCAAGAGCCAGGAGUCCUAUCCGGCCAGGGAACUCACUCCCUUCCAGAGGGACAGCCACCCGUGUGGCAGACACAGGCAAGGGGGCGAAUCCGACCCGCACCUGCUUGGCUGAAAGCGCUCUGUCCCCGGGGGGCUUCUGGUGACAGUGCAGACCCUCUUCCACACCUCUUGGCUAGGUGACCUCAGCCAAGACCCUUAAACCGAGACCCGGCACAGCCAGGCUUCGGACUGUGGGCUAAUCCGAGUAUCUAAACCUCUCCACAGUCAGACGAGUAACAAUCUACAGGCUCUAAUACCAGCAGUCGGGGAGGCUGGGGCAGGAGGAUCACAAGUGUGACCCCAACCUGGGUCACAUAGUAAUGUAGCAAGGUCACAUUUUAGAAUUUAAAAACCAAAAGAAGGGCUGGGGAUGUGGCUCCGUCAGAAGGGCCUGGAUUCAAUUCCCAGUGCCACAAAAAUAAAAAUACAAAUGCAUAAAGCUAUGUGUCUAUAGCAGGCAGUAGUUUAAGUGCUUCCUAUGUACUGUGUUAUUCCUUAUUUUGCGGACGGAAAACUGAGGCCCAAACCUCGGGUUCGCACCGGAGCCCUCUGCAGCUGCGCACGGCCAAGUCCUCCCCCCCCCCAACCCCACCUGCACCGUCCCGAGCUGUCACUGCCUCCCGCCCCGCGGUCCAUCCGCAGGGGAGCUCAGCUUCCAGAUCGUUCUGCACUUCACCCGCCGCACGCCAAACAGACUCAAUUAGAAAAAAAAAUCUAUCGCUAAUUUGAAAGCUCUGAUUCUAUAAUUUCCUGCAGGGAAGACAUGUAAAUUGCGUGUUAUUUAACACCCUUCCACGGCAGGUGAGUUCUGCGGGGGGCAAUUAUACCCCGCUCCACUCUGCGCACAGAUUCUGACGAGGGAGGGGGAGGAGUAGGAGGGGGCCAUUGUUCCCCGGCUGGUCCCCCCAGGACUGGUCCCCGAGGGCUGGCGGGACCCCCGAGUCUGCAGGGCCAAGGAGGGCGCUGGCUUGGGGUUCACACCUCUGGCUCCUCAACCACCAGAAAACCACCCAGUGCCUCUGGUACCCCCAAACUCUUGGUACCGAGCUGUCCCCAGGUACCUCUGCCAUGGUCCUCGCCUGGGAGAUGGGGGCGCUUGCAGCCCCUAACCCAAGCUGCUAGGGGGACGGAACCCUGUAUCAAGUCUGAAACGAACAGAGGAAGGAAGGGACAAGAGCCCUGAGGUCCCGGCGCCGGGCCCUCUGUGAGGGGGACCCCACUUCUGCACUGUCUAGCUGCCCCAGCUGGGCCCUGAGCCCCAAAACCCAGCAAGAGCAGGGCGGGAGGGCGCCACCUGCUGGCCGCGUCGGGAAGCGCGCGCUCCUGGCUGAGUCCUUUGGGGAAACCUGCUGAGACCCCCAGGCCUGGGGCUGUCCGGGCUCCCCGCUGACCUCCCCCUUCCGCAGGAUGGACGCGGCUGUUGUUGUCAGAGGGUGCCCCGGGAGGCCGGGGGGAGCAGGGUCCCCGGCAGACCCACUACCCCGACUGUCUUCCUGGGGUCGCACACCACUGGGGUCCGCGAGGCCCAGCAGGCUGCAGCCCGGGUGUCAGGGAAGCUCGUCUUCUGCUCACCAGGGAGCCCGGUGAAAAAUUCCCCCCUGAACCGGUCACAGCCGCACUCCGGCCUCGGCCACAGGAGGGCAGCAGCGUCCGUUCCAUCGCGGCCCUGCAGCGGGGCCUGGCUCCCACCCGCCUCUGCCUGGGAAGGGGACCAGGGACCUGGGCAGAAUCUGGGGGGCUCCGGUCCCCUCACCCCGGAGUCCAGCCUGGCUCCUGUCACCUCCAUUGCCUGGGUGGAGGCCAAAGCCUGCGACGUGCUGGGGGCACAGGAGAGGGCUGGGCUAUUGUCCAGCUGGGCUGUGUGGCCUGAGCACAUCCCUGCCUCUCCCUGGGCCUCAGUUUCCCUGUAAAAUGUGGGUGUCGGUUCCGGUCGGAGUGACACACGGGCAGUCCACACUUUAGUUAAGUCUACGCGGAUUUUUUCAAAAGCCUUUGCACACCGGCUACUGCUCCCUGCCCACCCCGCCACGCUGACCACCUGGUGUCAGCUCGAGUUCCAGAAGGGACAAGGCGUGUUGGAACCCAGCACUUCCGAAGGAAGAGGGCGCUGGGCCCUGGAUCCCUGAUCACCACACCCCCAGGCAGAGGACGCACCCGGGGACCUGCAGAAGUCCCAGAGGACAGGGACUCCCCUCCCUUCUCUUUGAUUUUCUUCCUGAAAGAAAUUAGGCUGUGUGUUUACUGGUUUUCAAUAGCUGAAAAUAUGUCUGUGUCAUACCACCAGAGACUGUACAGAACGCAUCUGUUAAAAAAUUAAUGAGCUGAGCGCCGUGAUGCCCAGCUGUGAUCCCAGCUACUUGGGAGACUGAGGCAGGAGGAUCGCAAGCAUGGGCACCUUAGCAAGACCCUGUCUUAUUAUUAUUAUUAUUAAUAGUAGUAUAUGUUAGUGAUCCACAGAAAGACCCUCUCUUUAAAAAAAACUAAGAAGUGUUGGAGGCAGAAGUAGAGGUAAUUGCUGAGGUCCUGGGUUCAAUCUCCAGCACUCCACACACAGGAUAAUAUGAAGCUUACCACCAAGAUCCAAAGAUAGAGCAUUGCUCUUCCCUGAGUUUUUGUUUGGUUUUGGUUUUGAUUUGGGGACUUUGUUUUUGUUUUGUGAGGGGUCGUUUGUUUUCUGUUUUUGGUACUAGGGAUCGAACUCAUGACCUGGCGCUUGCCAGACAGGCACAGUACCACUGAGCUACAUCCUUGGCUUCCCUGAAUUUUGCGGUGAACAUUGUGAAAAGUACCAGCUGCGGCCAACAGCAUCCACUGGGUUCUGAUCUCAAGCAGAAAAUUUCCCAUAAGCCUCUGUAGCUAUAUUAACACCAAGUUUAAAAAAAAAAGACUUCCAUGAAAAAGCAGGUGUUGGGUAUGGCAUUGUCACCAGAUGAUGGCAGAAGGUUCGCUUUUACCAGGGAACUGUAGCACACCCACUCUCUGCACUGCCACCUCUGGGUACCCACUGUGGUUGGCACUGUUGCACUUGGUCCUCAGAUCACAGGAGUACAGUGUCGUGGGUUCGCACAGAUCCGAGACACAGUUCCCAGGCACCUCGGUCUCUCUGGUCACUUGUAGUUCCCGGUAAAGCAAAUGCCAGCCAGCCCUGGACACUCACGCCCAGAAUCCAAGCUACUUGGGAGGUGCAGCUCGGAGGCAGAACAUUUGCCUGGCUGUGCAGGAGGCGCUGGCUUCCCUCCCUGGCUACACACACGCAUGCACACACAUGCAUGCACAUGCAUACAUGCACACGUGCACAGACACACUUGCACACAUAGCGAAGGCCGUGCAGAUCGCUCCUGUACUGCACUGCUAGAGGAAGUGUAGCCGAACAUUUCCCCUCCACCCUCAUUUUGACCUGGGCAGGAGCCUGCAGCCAACUGGAGACCCAGGGACAGAAGCCGUGCGGACGCUUCUGUUGCAUUUGCCGGAAGCCACGCAUGGCUGGAAUCCAUUCAGGACAUCAAGGCAGCCACAGAAAGACUCUCACGAAAGAGAACAUCCAGAGCUGCUUCAGAAAGGGGCAAGAGGGACCGGCCAUGUGUGUAGGGAGAGAGAAGCCAGCCUGCCGACGGGGAACGUUGGGGACGAAUGGCCACGCGGCUUCCGUGGCACCGAUUUUAUACACUCACCGUGUUUGCUGGUCACACACGUACUUGGGCUUCCAGUAGUUCUGAGUGUGUCUCUUAAAAAUGGAGCAAAGUCUACAUUUAGAACGUGACCCAGUUUUUAAAAUUCAGCCUGACAGUGCCUCUGAAGCAGCGUGUGGUCCUUCCCUAGCUCCCUCAUCUCGCCAGGUUAACUCAGACGACCUUGUAUUUUCCAUUCAUUCAAUGGUCCUGCUCACGGGCUCUUCCUCGCCAUCACUGAGAUAAUUCCUCAUCUUAAUUUUGUUUUCUAAUUUCUAGUUUUGAGCAUUUAUCCUCGGGAUUUUGAGACCGAACACUUAACUAACAGUCCAAACUUAGCCAAUAUAUUUACCUUCUUUCCAAAUAACUGAAAGAAUUUUCAGGCUUUAAUUUUGAACAUCCUCUCCCAAAUUAUAUGGUAGAGUCCAAUAUUUCAGUACCGGUCUGUUUAUCCCGCCAUAAAUUAAACCUUACUAUUGUGGAGUUAAAUAGUCCAGGCUUAUUUUGCUGUCUUCCAAAUAUUUACCAGUGCCCCUUGUAUAUCUGGCAUUUCUCUCCAGAAUAAUGUUUGUCCUACCGGAAAUUUAGUACAUUUAGAGAUUUCCGGAGUGCGGGUAUUUUGAUGGUAAAAGCCUCACACCUGUGAUUCCCCUGAGUGUGUCUGGGCUUCAGCAUCACCCUGAAAGGAUACACCGAGUUCCCAUUGCCUGGCACGGUAAACUGACGGUUCUCCUGCGGCUUCCAUUGGAGACCAUGAGAGGUCAGCUGUCCACUUAAUCGCUGACCCUUUCCAUCACCUUUCCCUGAUGUUUUAACAUCUUCUCUUUUUCUCUGAUGGUCCACAGUUUUAUUCCAUGAGUCUUGACGUAAAUUCCUUUCCAUUGACCUUCCUUGGGAUUCGCUGGGGUCUUAGUGACUUUCUCAGAGCUGAGAUAAAAUUCCUGCCAUCCAAAAUGAAAAGGGAAAGGUUGAUUUAGCUCCGUUUUUAGAGGUUUCAGCGUGUGGCCAGCCGGUUCCGAGGCAGAGGGCCUGCCCAAGGACUCCACAGCGAGAAACCGUCCUCGGCGGGGCAGGCAGGGGCCAGCAGCACAGCAGCGAUGCGCCCUGCUCUCUGCCCCUGGAUUCGCUCCAGUUUACAAGUCUAGCAAUGGGUGUCACCACACGCAGGCUGGGGCUUCCCUCAUCCAAACCUUUAUCCUAGUGUCCGGCCUUCAGUGCUCAGCUCACACUCUGAUCCAGCCCGUGAGGCCCUGGGGGUCAGCUAGACCCAGACCGCAGCCACGGGACCUCCAGGCUCUGAAGCUGACCUCUACGACAGCUGCACAGAACGACCGGCCUUUGUGUCUUCUCCUCCUGGACCCCGUCGUCUCCUGGAGCUCCGACCAGCUGCGGGGCCACUCACCUCCCCGCCACGUCCUCUCUGCCGCCCAGCCUUCCCCCGGAGCUUCAAAUCCCGAGCACCACAUUUUCACUCCAAAACAGUUCUGUUCCUAACUGCCGAGUCUCUGCAGAAACUUACUCCCUACCCGUGUUCCAAAGUGUUAAAAUUUCUUUAAAAACACAGUAACAGUUCUUUUCAAUUGAUUUGAGGUCUGCAGAUGACAAUUUCAGAUCAGAAGGCUUCCAGGAUCCCUCUCCACUGGCUCUUGUUUCUGUUGGCUCUUUCUGUCUGUCUUUGCAAAGUUUUCUUUCCACUUGAGCGCCUCGCUCAUGUUCUUUGGAGCUUAUGACAUUCUAGAGACGGAUGCUGAGGGUAAAUUUCCCUGAGGAUUUACCGUGGCCGGACUUAGGGUCUGUUUCUGCCAGUGGACGGGGCGUACCAUGGCAAGGCACUAGGAGGUCAACUCUUGAGUUCCUGCCUAACCACACAGGUGAUAUCAAUUCGAACCGAAACCCUGGUGAGGGCCGACCUGCAACAUCUUCUCAAGGGAGAUUUGGUUGGUUGGUUGAUUGGCUGGUUGGUGGUUGAUAUUGGGAACUGAAACAAGGGGUGUUCUACCAAUGAACUACACACACACACACACACACACACACACCGCCAUCCAGCCUAUUUUAUUUAUUUUGCAAUGAGAUCUCACUAAAUCACUAAGCUACCCAGGCUGAGCUCAAACUUGUGGUCCUCCUGCCUCAGCCUCCCAGAGAGCUGGGAUUAAAGGUGUGUGCCUCCCUCCCUGACCCAGAUAUAUUUUCUUUUAACUCAGUGUCAAAGCCAGGGCAAGUAGGUUUCCUUUCCUUUCCUCUUCUGCAAGGUGAGUUACUUGACAUCAUCCUGACACUCUGGUCUCGUGGACCCUGGCUUUGAGGGGUCUCCUGCGACAUCCCGCUAAGCUCCGUCUGCUCCUGCACCCCACGCAGGAACCCCAGCUCCCGGUCUCUGUGGCCUCCUGCCUUGGCUUUGUUUUCAAGAUGGUUGUAUGCGAAUUCCACAAGGCAGAGACCAAAAAAAAGAUUAAGAAGGAACACAUCCAGCGGGGGAUUUACGAAAGGCAUCGAACUUCUAACCUGGUGGAGAGCCAGACACAGACAUCUCCCUGAGAACCUUCCAGAAUGUGCUUUGGCCUGUUCUUCCCUCUGAGUCCCCAGAGGGACAGAGGAGCCCCCGUCCUAGCACCUCACCUGCUUGGUCUGCACCACCUAACAACUUCAAGCACCCGGUGCCCGGUGCCUGUCGGACGGGCUCCUGAGGGUCAGGACAGGCUUUUGCUGGACACUAACAGGACACCGCCGUGAACCGUGGCUUCCACCAGCACACAGCCGCAGCAAACUGGCCUGCUUUUGCAGAGUCCCAGCGCCGCAGAACAAAAGCGUGUCUUGCCAGCUGGACUCGCCCCAGCCCGAUCCGGGCCGGGCUCUGCGGAGCCCUUACGUCAGGAGUCUGGCAGAGAGAACCCGGGCUGUCUGGCGAGGCGCAGAGCCCCAGCCCUCGUCUUUCUUAAAAUGGAACUGAUCCCGGUCCCCAGAUAUCCCCAGGUCUCGCAGGCCCCACUCAGCCUCCCAUCCACCCUCACACCUCUGACUCAGAGGGAAAAAUAAGCCACCCAACUCCUCCUCCUCUCCUCUCCGCAAGCAGCCGAGAGGUGUAAGCUUUGUUCACAGCUGAGUUAUUUCUGAUCUUGGUUCUGGCUAAAAGAAACUCGGAGGGACGGUGGCUGGGAGACGUGUGGAAGCCGUGCCAAGCCAAACUGUCUAAGCGCCUGCCUCUGAGCAGCCGGCUGGGGAGAGUGUGUUCCACUAAGAAAGAGCACCUAAGAGCACCUAGAGUGGGGGGCAGGGCUGGGGCGGGCGGGAGCGAGAGGGGUCCAGGGGUGAUGCAUGUAUACCCCGCCCCCCCCCGCCCCAAACGCAUUCACUACGCGUGGCAAACACACACACAGCGGGCAGGGAUUCAGCUCAGCGGCUCAAGCAUCUGCCUGGGAAGUGUGAGGUCGUGAGUUCGAUCCCCAGCACCAAAGGAAAGAAAGUACACACACAAAGCAGGGGAAAUCCACUUCAGCAGACAGGCAGCGAGGAAGGCCUCAGGGUGACCAUUUCGGGCAGCUUCUCAGAAUGUGGCCCCUCACACACCUUGGAGAACCAGGAAGGGCCACCCCGAAACACAGGGCCCCCGGGGUCAGUGAGGCUCAGAGCCAGAAGGUGAGCGUGAGGUCUGAGAAAAGGAUGUCAGGCCCUGCUGCCUCUGCUGGGGCCUGUGACCCCGGGAAGUCGCUGGACCUGGUGUCCACCCGCUGGAGGGACCAGAAGCCCCCCACGAGGGGCGCAGGCAAGCAGGUGGAGCUGUGAGUGUACUUCCACAAAUCACGGUGCUCGGUGAGCUCCCAGGGCCUCUGUGGGGGCCCCGGUGACCAGUGCCACGGCGUCCCUGUGUCAGCACUGGGGAGAAGAGGGGAGCAGGGAGCAGUGGAGAGGGAACCCAAGGGACAGACAGAUGAGGACGGGCCUGCAGUGCCCACAGCACAGCGCCUUGCCUUCUCCCCAAAAGUCAAGAGCAGAACUGGGAUUCGAACUCAGCUCCCGGGGCUGAACACUGCCUGCCUUCUUUGACGCUCAAACAGCAAACACUUGUUGGCAUGGAGCCAAUCCUGUGCGUGUGCGUGUGCGGGCACCUGGAUGGGAAUCGGAAAGGCCCUCGAGCUGGGGAUCCUCCCAGGCUACCACGCAAGACGGACAGUGAGGAAAUAAGGGCCCCGGGUUUCCAGCACGGGCGUCGGGGUGGACAGUGGGGCUACUUUUCUCCGUAAACUCUGCUGCCAGGACAGAGGGAGGGGCAGGGGGGACCUCUUCAGAAGCCACACGGCAUGGAGGGAGCGGGCAACAGGCACUCUGAGCUGGAGGCGGGAAGCCGGCCAUCAGCAGAGGGGGAGGACAGCGCACUGGGACACCGCUGGACCCCGUCCCCAGUCCCAGGAGUCAGGGGGCUGCACUGUGCCAAAGGUGGGUGGGGCUGAUGGGCCACUUCUGGAGCUGAGCCGGGAGAUGAGUGUGCGUAACACCAGCACCCUGGGAGGCCGAGGCAGGAGGGUUGCAAGUUUGGGUAGCACCUGGGCAAUACAGUGACUUAGUGAGAGGACUAAAAUAAAAAGCACAAACAGGCUGGGGAUGGAGCGGAGCGCGGCCCUGGGAUCGAUCCUGCAAGAUGGAAAAGGAGGAGGAACAGGAGGAGACGUCACCGCAUCUGCUCACCGCCUCUGAGCAAUCCCCCCAGUGACUCCGCGACCCUCCCACCACUCCAGACAGGGCUGUGGGACCAAGGAGCCCUGCCCAGGGGACACUGAGAACCUUUGCACCCACACCCACCCAGGUCCUGCGCUGUCCCCGGGAGCCUGGCCAGCCCAGGACCCAGGUCUUCGCACACAGGCAUGCGCUGCCCAACAAAGCCUCUGGCUACCGGGCCCGACUCAAGCCAGGAGACCCUGGGCUCUUGCACCAUAGGGACAGACACCCAGCACUAUUAGGAUGGGAGGGGAGUCAUGCGUGUGGCCCCAGAGCCGGAAGAAAUGCCAUGUGGACCGCACUGACUAUUUCGGGUGGAAUCAAGAAAAAGCACAAUGUUUCAAAAUGCUGAAGAAAAAGCAUUUCCAGCCAGAUCUCUCCGUCUGGCCAAGCCAUCCAUCACACUCGAGGAUAAAGUGAAUAUUUUUAGACAGAAAAAGGCUUCGAGCGCCGUCUCUCGCCCUUCUCUGUUCCCCACGCAGGAACCCGCUUCCCUGCUGACCGUGACGUGGGUCAGCCCCGGCUCUCACCUGUAAGCUCCUGUCCACUCCGUGGUCCUCUCCAUGCCCCAUUUCCACCUUUUGGGGCAUCAUGCUGGCCACCUUGCUGGUUUGAGUGACCGCAAGUGCAAGAUAAGGGCUGUCACUCCUCCUGGGCGAAGGUGUGGGAACACAGAGCGGGAGUCACACCAAGUGUCACUUGGGCUGGACUCACGGCAGCCAAGACCACGAGUUCAGGUCAGCGAGGCGACAGCGUACAUCAGGGUGACUUUCAAGACAGACACACAGCAUGGGCUGCACUUUCCCUGGGCCCUCCACUCCCAGGAGAUGAGAAGAGGACACUGCCCCUCAGGAUGACGGAGGAGAUGCCCAGAGGGGAGGCCCAGGCGGGGCACUUGCCUGCCACACACAAAGCCUUUGGUGCCAUCCCCAGCACAAGGGAGAGAGAAGACAGGAAGAUGGAGCCACAGGGAACAGAAGAGAAACCCAGGGGCCCUAGGACAGCAGCCACCCCCGCCUGGGGCCUGGCAUAGGAAGACCUGGUCACCCCAAGUCCUCCCCGGAAAGUUCAGGGCAGAGUGAGCCUCUGCUCUCCAGGGAACCCAGCAGGGGAGAAAGGGGAGCGUUAGCUGGGAGUGGGCAGCACCGGGCUGGGCAGUGGCCGCUGGCACAGGUGACGAGGACCUUUCCCUGGCUGUAGGCAGGUGGGUGGGCCAAACAAGACCAGGCAGUGCCUCCUCCAGGGGCCACAGUCAGACCACGAGGGCAGGACAGUCCCCAUGUGGCUCUCAGCACAGAAACCAAAGUCAUUAAAGGUGAGAGGCCACGGGGAGGGAGCCGGGAACCAGUAUUUUUCUUAACAAAUUUUGGAGAACUGUCUGGCUGUAUGAGUUGGAUUAAGCUAAAACUGAAGAAACUAAAUAACCAAACUUCCCUGAUCCUGAGCUCAGCCUGCCAGUUAGGGGCCGAGAAGCCCGGCGAGGAGACAGGCACUGCGGUCUCCCUCACCCGGAGCCUCUGCCUUUGACCAGGAGGCAGCCCUCACCCUCAGCCGCCUGGGGAGGUUGUGGCCCAGAUUGGCUGAAGGUGCCGGCAGGGGCUGCCUGUCCGAGACCCCAUCUGCAGCAACCCUCCUGCUCCCAGGUUGGGGGGGCCACUGGGACUGACGUUCGCUGUCAGUUUGCAAAUGAGGGGACCCUCCCAGGGCCACUCUGCCACCCUCCUCCUCCUGCUCCUCGCACAGGAUGAUGAUAGGGCACUGAGGCCUUGGGUUCUCAGGAGAUCCAGCACCUGAGGUCACAGAGACAAAGCAGAACCCUUGGGACAGGAUGGGAUGGGGGAGCAGGGGGUGCGGGCCCAUCUCAACCCCACACCGUUGUUCCCACCCCAGGCCAGAUGCGACUCCCGGCAUCUCACCCCUGGCUUCCCCCACCUGCUGACUGCUGUGGGUGGCAGUUUAUACCGAAGACUCCCCAUGACGGACCCCUGAACAGGCCAUCUGCGACUACCCGUUGGACACCCCUGCCUACAAAGCACCCCUCCCCUCCCCUCUCCUGCACAGCGGCAGACUCGGCCACCAAAGUGCAGCUGACAGGAGACGACCCUGACCCUAAGAGGCACACACGUCCCCCUCCCAUCCCACACCCCAAAUCCUCCAGCCCAAGCAGAUGCCCCCCAUUGGAACUCAGCUCCUCGCCUUCCUCAUGGGGCUCUCUGGGGGCCAGAUGCAUCAUGCAUAUUUUGGGGAACAAAAGGAUGAGAAAUCCAAGGAGUAUUUUGAGAAACACAAGCAAUCAGAUGUUAAAAAAUAGCUGAUUACGUGCCUGGCAAAACAGAUCAGCAGACAGGAACCGGCCGGCGUGGGGGCAGAGAGCUGUUCGGGGAGAGAACCUCAUCUGGGUCCCCGUGUGGCACAGGGAAGCAGGAGGAGCAGCAGGAAAGAAAUGGGUUUGGACUCGAUCUUUGCAUCUUUCAAAUGGACUGAAAAAGACAUUAUUCAUAAUGCAAAGUAAAUCCUAGAAAGAUGGGCCAAACAUAUAAGUGAACAGAGACCAGCUCGCUGGAGGAGCGGAAUAUUUUCCAGCUUUAAAAUCACCGAGGCUGUUUAUUUAUUUUAGGGGAAAGGAGAACGGCUUUGACUACAUAAAAACUGAAAAUCUUCGGUACCACAGACAAAAUUAACCAGACUGGCGGCAGGAGAAAGGGUUAACAUCCAUAACCCAGGAACCCUGAUAGAAAAGCCUUAAACCAACAAGGUUUUUAUUUUCUUUUACUUUUUUUGGAACUUGACAAAAAUGAUACCAAAUUUCAUCUGGAAAAAUAAACUUCUGAGAGCAGCCAGGGAAAUUAUAAGGAAAAACAAAAAGUCCUGAAAGAGAGCUGGUCUGGCCAGAUGUCAGGACGUCGCAGGGAAGUCCAGCAGUUUUUAGGCCUGGCGGUGUCGGCUGAGUGGGAGCCCCUGCAAGCAGGCCGGGGUGCAGAGAUGGAGGGAACGGAAGUGGAAAUUCAGCACAUAACUGAGAAGAGGCACGUCCUACUGCGGGAGAAACCCGCAUUGUUCAGAGCGCGCGGUGAGAUAACCGAAGUCAGCCACCUGGAAAGCAUAAAGUGGGAUUCCUGCCUCACCCUCACACCCAAAUUCACUCCAGAUGGGCCUGACAUUUAAACCAAAAACAUGAGCUUAAAAAUUAUUUUAAAAGGUGAAUUUAUAAGCCUGGCAAAGAAAGCUCUUUCUAAGCGGGACACAGGGUCCAGAAGCCAAGGUAAAAGUUCCCUGGGAGAAGAAAAUGGGUUAGAGACAGAAACAGCUUGAAAAAGAUGAGACUCGAGUCCCCUGUGGUCUAUGACAGUCCUUCUUCACCCAAAAUAAUCCAGAGCUGUUACCUCGAGGCUCAGGCAGGUCCACCCCCGGCCCCAGUGUGCAUGGAGAACGGACCGAACCCCAUGCUGGUGCCCAGCGGCCAGCAGCUCACCGGGAGUGCGCCCAGAAAGUCCGUGUCCACCAGAGACUUGCUCCAGGUGGCCAGGAGCGAAAGCGCUGCAGAUAAACCAGGUUUCUGGACUUUGAGGACUCUGCGCCCAACCCAGGGGUCCCCCAGUUUCUGAGGGUGACAGACAGGAGUCAUUGACAGGGUGUUGGGGCCUCUCGGGGGCUCUCAACACGCGUGCAAGUCCCAGAAUCCUCUCCCAUCUUAAUCAGAUGCGGCCACAUCAUGCAUAUUCAUGAACCUUAACGAGGCAGGAGUGGAGUCAGGGCGUUAAAAGGUCAGGCAAGGGGGUCCCAGAGCAUGAGAUCUCCCCUCGGACCUCGCAAGGGGCAGGGCCCUCAGGUGCUGUUUAAAUUACAGAUAGGGCCAGGGAUACGGCUCAGUAGCACAAGCGCCUGCCUGGCGGGUGCAAGGUCCUGAGUUCGACUCCCGGUACCAAAACAAAAAUUAACCGGGCAGAAGAGUGUGGUUUUCUCGCUCUAUUUUUCUAGCUGUUUUAUUAAGUCAGUGGUGAUGGGACAGAGUCCUAGGAGAAAUGUAAGUUUAGAUCCAACUUAUACUGAACAGUAAUGAUGUCACAAGCAAAUAAAGUCCUCGAAGGGCUGGCUAAUCUGUAAAGAAAUACUGACCGGAUCGCUGCAGAGAUGAAACUCUUCUAAGCUGAAAACAGAGAAAAUCAAAAGUUGGAAAUGAGAGGGAUUUAACUGUUUAAAACAUAUCUUCCACAUUUUUAAAAAAUAAAAUUCGACCUUAAAAAUUUUGACCACAUAAAAUCCUUAAAGUACUAAGUGGAAAAAUACAAUAUAAAAAAGCCAAAGCAAAACCUGGAGAGGGACCAACAUGCUGUAAGAUUAAUUGUUUUAAUUUAGAAAAUGUUCAUAGGAGUAAGAAAAAAAGAUUUCAAAUCUAACAAGUUGACAAUUUUUUUUACUGUAUGUGAAAAGGAGAUUGUCCAGAAAGUUAAAAAGGAAACACACAGAAACAAUUCAAUCUGGCUCAUAUUUAAGAAAUGUAAGCUGCUGGGUACCUUUUUUAACCUGUCAAUUUGCCAAGAUUCACAAAGCUUUCCCUAAACCAGCAAAAUCACAGAGAAACACAAAAACUGCUCAAAAUCUUUAGGCUUGAAAACACUACAAGUGUGUGGAGAAACAGCUGUUCUCAGACAUUGUUGGUGGGCGUGUCAUUUUGCUUACUCUGCGAUUUUUUUGUUUGUUUGUUUUUAUCUGACCAGGGAUCAAACUCAGGACUGCCUGCUUGCAAGGCAGGCACUUAUGCUGCUGAGCUAAAUCCCCAGCCCCCUACUCUGUGAUUUUUGAUGACUGUAUAAUGCUCCAUGUUCAUGGGUGGCAACAUACACUGAAUCAGUCCCGUUCAUAGACAUUUAGGGUUUCUUUUUAAAAACUUGUCUUCAUUUGAAAAGCGGUACUCCCAGGACAUACCUGGACACGCUUUUGCAUGCGUGUAGAACUUUGUAACUCCCGCACGUCUUGCCACUUCUAUUUUGAGACAGUCUCACUAAGUUGCCCAGGCUGGCCGAGUGCUCACAAUCCCCCUGCCUCAGCCUCCUCAGCGCUGGGGUGACAGGUGAGAGCUACCACAGCCGGCUUUGAAACACAGUUUUCAAAGAGGACGGCAAGUGGGGAAUAAGAUGCAGGAACAGCAAUGGGGUGGAACUGCAGGUUGUGCUGUAGAUAGAACUGAGGCCUUUGCCACCAACCUGCCGAGAGACUCUAGCACCACCUCAGCCCUCUUAGUAGGCCUCAGUUUCCCCAAAGGAAAAAAAAGGAAGGAAAGUUCUUGUUCUUAAAGCCAUUGACUGAAUGACACAGCAGAAAGAAUCGGCCUCACCCCGUGUCCUGGGGCACAGAUGGGUGUUGGUGCUGCCGACGCUUCCCUCCCACGCCGCCACAUCAGAAGCCCAGCUGCCCAGCCCAAGCAGCCGGAGCUCCCGGCUCAGCCCAGGCGGAGGCCAAGGAGGCCAGGAAGCCAAUAUCUGCUCUGUGCAGAGCGCGCUGUCCCUCUGCCAGGAGGCAGCUUGGACCCAGGCCUGCCUUUCCUGAUGUCUUACACAUGGGACAUUCAGCAUUGACCUGCUCGGAGCCCCCCAGUGCCUGGGGAAAGCAGGGGGAACCCCCUUGACUGAUUCCACCCUCGGGGCUCCAGGCUCCGCGCCCACCUCCUGCCGCAGUCUGGCCAGACACACAGUCUCCGCUCCCGCAAGCCGAGCUUUGAAUAUCGUCUUUUCUGGGGUUCCCCUCUGCCCGGCCUCCGCUCACCUGCGGUCCUGGAGCCCAUUUCUAAUGACUUCCUGUGCCGAGAGCGUGUGAGCCCUCGGCCACGCUCCAGAAUGUGUGAGUGAGCGGGAAUCAAAGGGCACGGGGUCCCGACGGGACGUGCAGGAGCCUGCAUCAAAGCGUUGCAGCUGGGAGACUCGGAGAGAAGCGGACAGGAAGUGAACACGCACACCUAAAGCUAUGCAGAGGCCCCCCUGAAUCAGCCCAUUCUUUCAUUAUGUGAAACUGAUGAAGGCCUCGCAGAGCCCCUGCUCAGGAACAGGGCCCUUAAAUAAAACAUGUUUCAUUGAUCAA